CUGUAGUGAGUGGAGGUGUACUGUAGUGAGUGGAGGUGUACUGUAGUGAGUGGAGGUGUACUGUAGUGAGUGGAGGUGUACUGUAGUGAGUGGAGGUGUACUGUAGUGAGUGGAGGUGUACUGUAGUGAGUGGAGGUGUACUGUAGUGAGUGGAGGUGUACUGUAGUGAGUGGAGGUGUCCUGUAGUGAGUGGAGGUGUACUGUAGUGAGUGGAGGUGUACUGUAGUGAGUGGAGGUGUACUGUAGUGAGUGGAGGUGUACUGUAGUGAGUGGAGGUGUACUGUAGUGAGUGGAGGUGUACUGUAGUGAGUGGAGGUGUACUGUAGUGAGUGGAGGUGUACUGUAGUGAGUGGAGGUGUACUGUAGUGAGUGGAGGUGUACUGUAGUGA